UACGUAGGGUGCGAGCGUUGUCCGGAAUUAUUGGGCGUAAAGAGCUCGUAGGCGGUUUGUCACGUCUGCUGUGAAAUCCCGAGGCUCAACCUCGGGCCUGCAGUGGGUACGGGCAGACUGGAGUGCGGUAGGGGAGAAUGGAAUUCCUGGUGUAGCGGUGGAAUGCGCAGAUAUCAGGAGGAACACCGAUGGCGAAGGCAGUUCUCUGGGCCGUAACUGACGCUGAGGAGCGAAAGCGUGGGAAGCGAACAGG
rnacentral:rRNA from 1 species